ACAGCGGGAAGCCAGGUGGUGACACCGAGCAGAACCGAAAGCCGUUCUCAGUUCGGAUCGGAGUCUGCAACCCGACUCCGUGAAGCUGGAUUCGCUAGUAAUCGCGCAUCAGCCAUGGCGCGGUGAAUACGUUCCCGGGCCUUGUACACACCGCCCGUCAGGCCAUGGAAGCCGGGGGCGCUUGAAGUGCGUUGCCGCAAGGCGCGCCCUAGAGCGAAACCGGUGACUGGGGCUAAGUCGUAACAAGGUACC
rnacentral:rRNA from 1 species